GAACGCAUAUUGCGCUCUUUGGUAUUCCGAAGAGCAUGCUUGUUUGAGUAUCAGUAAACACCUCAAAGCUUUUGAUUUUUUUUAAAAGUUUUGGACUUGAGCAAUCCCAACACCAGUCUUUUACAGAUCGGCGGCGGGUUGCUUGAAAUGCAGGUGCAGCUGGACUUUUAUCUGAGCUAAAAGCAUAUCUAUUUAGUCCUCGUCAAACAGGAUUAUUACUUUUGCUGCAGCUAACAUAAAGGAUAAUUGUCCUCUUUGCUGACUGAUGCAGGAUUUUACGACACUUUAUGUGUUGUUCAACUCGAUCUCAAAUCAAGUAAGACUACCCGCUGAACUUAAG
rnacentral:misc_RNA from 1 species